rnacentral:rRNA from 1 species
AUGCACGCUGGCGGCGUGCCUAAUACAUGCCAGUCGCGCGAACAGACGAGGAGCUUGCUCCUCUGACGUUAGCGGCGGACGGGUGAGUAACACGUGGAUAACCUACCUAUAAGACUGGGAUAACUUCGGGAAACCGGAGCUAAUACCGGAUAAUAUAUUGAACCGCAUGGUUCAAUAGUGAAAGACGGUUUUGCUGUCACUUAUAGAUGGAUCCGCGCCGCAUUAGCUAGUUGGUAAGGUAACGGCUUACCAAGGCAACGAUGCGUAGCCGACCUGAGAGGGUGAUCGGCCACACUGGAACUGAGACACGGUCCAGACUCCUACGGGAGGCAGCAGUAGGGAAUCUUCCGCAAUGGGCGAAAGCCUGACGGAGCAACGCCGCGUGAGUGAUGAAGGUCUUCGGAUCGUAAAACUCUGUUAUUAGGGAAGAACAAAUGUGUAAGUAACUAUGCACGUCUUGACGGGACCUAAUCAGAAAGCCACGGCUAACUACG